rnacentral:lncRNA from 1 species
UUUGAUAGGAUGGAGGGGGUUAGAAUUCCCUAACCAUGAUCUAAAUGCAAAUAGAUGAACACAUUGGAGGGGCAUAUACCUAACCUCCAAUAAGAGGAAUACAAACUGUAAGCUGUAAAUUAAGUACUACCUCCUCUGAAAAUGUGAAAAAAGAAAUAAAAGGCUAAAUGUUUCCAAAAGUGGGAAGUCCAUGCCUGUCAAUUUGUACCAUGGCGUGAAGUCGUUGGGACAAACCAACGGGACCAUACUUUUGAUAGCAACGUCGCUCACAUCUCUCUGAAAAAGUGAGUCAAAAACCUGAUUUCUUCACAAUAGAUAUGUGAAACAGUGUCAUGAUCAAAGGAAACUAGGUGUUUGAUGUGCCUGAGGGCAGCCUGGAUAGACUACAGACUCCACCAAGUGUAAUGCAAUUAAUGCAGCAGAAGAAUCAGCUUCUAUCCUUUAAUCUGAGAAGAAUGAUUCCAUUAAGAAUGACCCUCAGUUCAGCCUCAAGUAUAGGACAUUCACUGUAGGAUGAGAAGAAUGCACGAAUAAACCGUCCAGAGUGAUCCAGAAUGAUAACCCACCACUAGAAAAAUCAUCUCUGACCACCCAUCAGUGUUUAUCUUGUAAGAUGCCAAAUGUAGAGUGUGCCAAGAAACCAUAAUAGGAGGAGAGUUUGGGGUCGGGUGAAGAGAUACCAAAUAAAAGGGCGAUAUCCAAGUCUCCUCGCCAGUGCACAAACCGAAAUAAAUAGGCCGUGUGAAGAAAGGAGAUAGUCCGAUAGACCUACCAUUUAUCCUCUGAGGCUCCAUAGCUAAACCUUGGUGCUUUGCAUCAUUCGUUGCAAUCCAUAAGAACCAAAAGAUGAGCAAAUGUUGUGGUUCUUCUUUUCCUCAAAACUAAUAUUCCAUUUUUGCUUGAAAAUGUACCUAUUAAUUUUGACUUUAUAACUCUGUGAAGGUGGUACAAUGAAUUGAAAUUUUUGAAAUAUGAUGCAACUAACUUGAAGGAUUGUGAAACUUUAGAUUUGUCCUCUUUGUUGACAACUAUUACGAAUUUCACUUUGAAACCGUUUUGAAUUGACUAAAGUUGUAGAUGUUGAGUUCCUCAACUUUAUUUAUUCA